UCCUGUUGGAUUCCCAGGACCUCCACCGGUCGAUGGAACCAUACCAGCACUGGGUGUGCCGGAUGAACCACCGGACCUAAGAAGGAAAGCGAAUAUCGAAUCCAUAUCGACUCGUUCACUUUUUCCUUUCAUCUGUGACACGGGUUUCUCGAAUGAUCGGGUACCGAAGGGAUGCCCGGAACGUCCAGCUCGCUAACAAUGCAGAGAAAGUGGAUGCAAGCUGCAGGUAACACGGAAAAGACACGCCCUGAGUAUUCCCGUUCCAUCGAGUCCCGUUUCUCGGAGAUCCAGGAAAAACUGGAUUGGACAGACCGCUAGAAAUAUUCGAUACCUUCAGGUAUAUAAAUUAUGACUGAUACGCGCCACGAUGGCUAGUGCGGUAGUAAUUAAUUACGGAAUGACUGGAUAAUUGAACGGCUCGCUUUACGAACUAUAUUUCAAACGAAGAAUGAUCAUAUAUUAGCAUGUAAGUAAUUUUAAAGCCUUUCUGAUCUGUUGAUUAACACGUUCCUUGUCAGGUGGAUCACCGAUGAUCUAUGAAAUGUUUUUCUUCGAAUAAAAUUUCGAGCUACAGGUAUGCACGAUAAACUAUUUUCUUUGUUUUCACUGGAACGGAAUUGCCCUUUGAUAAAUCGAUCGCGGUGUAUUAAAGACAUUCUGUCAGAGACCCUCUGGCUAAAGUUUAUUAAACGACGAAAUUGCUUGUAAGCUGACAAUGAAAACCAAUAUCGGUGUUUCUCUGGCUCGAACGAUCCAUUAUGUAAGAAGAGUAGAAAACGUUGUUGAAAAGUACACGGUCGAUACUCGUAGAAUAAUAUUCUUUAAUUGACGUUUCCCGUUCCGCGGCUAAGCGAGUCUCGAUUACAAGAAUUUCGUAGCCGUUUCUUCGGUACGGAAUACAUUCGAGGCACCGUAUCGUGCGCGCGGGUAAUUAACCGCGGACGGCAAAUUAAUGGGAAGAUCGAGUGAGCUCGUAUUUCAGAAAAAUCGCAUAUUACUGGUUUUUCUGGUUUCUCUUUCGCUGGCCUGGGUAAAACGCAUCGAAAAGGAUUAAUGGGCAAAGAGAACAUUAGAACAAAGCCAAUCGGGGAAGAAUAAAUUACCGCUCGAAUAACGAACGUGAUUCAACAGUGAACUCUAGCAUGUACCGUUUAAAUAUCCAUGUUGUACUCAUAUUUUAUCUAGGACGAUCGAAAAAGGGACUCUGAAGGUUUUAGUAUCCACGGGAGAGGAGCAAAAAACUCCAAUUAACACAUCGGUUUUAAAAUUAAUUUUAAUGAGUAGAGGAAAAGAAUAUGAGAUACCAAGAUUUUAACGAUGAUUGUAUAUCAAGUAUUAUUACGAGUAAAAUAUGCUCCCAUAACUUUUUUGAUAGGUGUCAUUUCGUUUAACAAACGUUUUAAUUUUUGACCGCAAAAGAAAGUUUCUAUGCGUAAAAUUUAUUUUCGUCGAAUUGUCGGCUUAACUAUGUUCCAGUCGGAGCCUCGAGGAACAUUAUCGGAAAAGGGCAAACGCUUCAUAAUCUCGGGCGUGUUUCUUCCCUUCACGCGCGACCGAUCU